UAUCGUCAACAUGGCUGACAUCAAACGUUUUGUAAAACGCAUUGCGCUCUUUCUGGUAUUCGCAGCUGCGAACCUGUUCGCUGUUUCUGAGGCCCAGCUGACGUUCUCUUCUGGGUGGGGAAAGCGUUCUAGAGAUGAUGAGAUCGCCAUUAACCUUGAUGAACAGCUGCUGCAGUAAACGACCCAUGGCUUGACACAGGAUUUAGAUAAAUGUAACCAGUAUUAACCAACCAGGAAGUUAUCAUCAUUUUUGUUGCCCGUAUAUUAUAUUAAAAUGAGAAAAAUUGAAAAAGAAAAAAACUUUUCGAAAUGUCUGACACAUAUACUUCAUCACAGCCCAAGAAUAUCUAAAAGGACAUAUAUAUCUAAAACAUUUAGAGAUAAAUAGUAUAGUAUAUUUCGACUACAGGACACUAUAACUCUGGGGUUAGAUAUGCUAUAUUUUUUGACAUUUAGCAACUCACAGUUGCCACGACGUCGUGCAGUUGCCGAUUUAAAUUUGCCGUCUUCUUGACAAAAAAUUACGGUUGGUCUUAUUUUAAGAUGUCAGAUCAGGACAAAACGACUCUGGUUCUAAAAAUGAUACGAGUAUCGUUUUCAAGCACAGACGAGUAAAACAAU